ACCGACAAGUCACCUGCCGAUUCCAGUUGCGAGUCGGAUUUCUCAACACCUGUAUCAUCCCCACAAAAGCACUUCAAUGGAGUCAAGGAGAACGGAAUAGCAAGUGGCAGUGGACUGACAUCGAAAUCACGGCUGGACAGUGUUAAAAAAAAUGGACCCAGCACUCCAUAUUCGAGCAUUGCUGAAGAGAUCUUGUCAAGGCGCUCCAUCAACAGACUCAGGUCUACUAAUUUGCCAAAGUAAGUUCAUCAUCAUCAUCGUCAUUCUCAUCAUAACUAUCACCAUCAUUACCACCACCACCACCACCACCAUCAUCAUAACUAUCAUCCUCAUAGGCUGAUGAUGAAGAUGGCCGAAGUGAACAAUGGCACCAGUGCUACUAGAUAUGCUUUUCCAUGGAAAAUUGGAAAUGUACAAUAGAGGGGUGCAGGCAUGGCCGUGUGGUAAGAAGCUUGCUUCCCAACCACAUAGUUCUGGGUUCAGUCCCACUGUGUGGCACCUUGGGCAAGUGUCUUCUACUGUAGCUUUGGGUCAACUAAAGCCUUGUGAGUGGAUUUGGUAGACGGAAACUGAAAGAAGCCCGUCGUAUAUAUAUCAUCAUCAUCAUCAUUUAACGU